CAAUUAGUAUCAAAUGUCGACCUACACUUCCCUUCCACAAAAAGCUGCAACAACCAAAGCCCCCUGCCCUGCUUCCCCUUCCCCACGAAAGCCCCCUGUCCUGCUUCCUUGGUAUUCGCUGCAACAACCAACAACCGACGCCCUCUGCCCUGCUUCCCUUGCAUGAUUCUGACUCCUAUGCUUAGAAAUGGAGAAACAAAGGAUUUGAUUGGAACCUUUGAGAGGCAUAAAGGUGUCGUUUGGAGUUGCUGUCAUUAGUUUCCUUUCAUAAUUGUGUAUUUAUCAAUAUAAGUUUAAUAAUAUGAUAUUCAUCUUUUCAAUACACUAACAAUUUACUAUCAAUCUCAUAGUA
rnacentral:lncRNA from 1 species